rnacentral:lncRNA from 1 species
AAAAAGUUGAGACUUCAUUUUGAAUAAAACAGAGCAGCUGACCUGGGAAAUAAAGGCAAAAAGAAACAGCCUUCUAAAACUUAAAAGGAAAGUGUUUUCUGAUAUGACUUUUGGGCUAGGACUUUCUUCUUCCUCAGCCUUUGAAGAGACCAAAGUCCACGACUAGGAAUCCACAGACGCAACGGUAGGACACGCAACGCUCGCUUGCGUUCCCUCAGUGGAACUAACACCACGUUCGCGAUCAGAAACGCUUGUUCUCCACGCGAACAGAAAGUUAAAGACGGAAGUCAUUAAAGAAAGGCACCCANNNNNNNNNNNNNNNNNNNNNNNNNNNNNNNNNNNNNNNNNGCUCUUCCCAUGUAACGCCUUUCGCAGCAGCAGUGGCGAGACAGUCUCAUCAGGUUACGAAACAGUCUGCUCUCACCAGCACCUCGCACUGCCACACGGCCUUAACUCAUCAUCAAACCAAGAUAAACAUGGUGAGCACGUUCCCAGCAGAAAUACCUGCAAGUGCUCAAGAGUGGAAAAACAGCACUGCAGAUUUAGGAUACAGAAGACCAAGAGAUAGGUAAAUUCAUCACUUGUGAAAGUCUCAAGUCCUCCAAAGACAGACCUACUGGGAAACAGGUAUGAGCACGAGAUCGGGAUUACUAUUUUAAAGCAGAACGGCUGGUUAAUGUUUAAUACCUGUCCCACUUGUCAUCUGACAUCCUUCACGUUGAGAGUUGAGUGCAGACGAGACAGGGACUUUAGUCUUUACUCCAAGGUCAGCUGCCGCUGGUGUUCCUGCCAGCCCUGAUGAACGGUGCUGUGACAGCUGGACCAUCCCACUGGCAGAGGUGGCUGCCACCAGCACCAUCAGCUGAGGGAGCAGAGACGAGCUGCUCAGGCUGCACCAUUU